CGACGCCGACGACAACAUCAACAAAAAAAAGGAGGAAGAAAAAUCUGUUAACUCCGCAUUUCUGAUAGCUGACUGUUGGGCUGAAUGAAUCAAAUAGUUUGAGCGUAAUGAACUUCUCAGAGUGUGUGUCGUUAGCGGACGAUGGCUCUCGUUGAUCUUAAACGGUCUUAAAAGAUGAUCCAUACAGUAAUGAAGCCGGCUCGGCAGCUGGCCUGGCGCCCGAAACGGAACAUAAUCAAAGUCGCAGGGGGAUACCCUGAAGCUACCGUUACCCAAUAACAUCCCUCCGCUUCCCCUUUGUGCGCUCUUUACCGGGUAAAACCUGUUUGUCG